AAAGCGCAUCAUGAUGAGUGGAAACCUGCUGAAUGUCCGGUACAAAGUGUAGAGCACUGAAUUACAGGAUUUAGCAGUCCAUUUUAGGGAGAACCUUUCAAAAUUAACAUCAAAAUUUCGAACAAAUUGACAAUAAUACCAUUUAUCUCAAAGCUAUAAUGGUUUUAUGCACUUUUUCACGCAAAAAAAUGCGGUAGUUGAUUUUACAUGUAUACCAGUUGCAUGAAAAUCAUCAUUACCCGUAAUGUAUUGAAAUAAUAGUGAAAAAAACGUUAAAUUGACAAAAUACGUAUAGAAAUGUGCUCAUUAAUAGUCAAUUUUGAUGCUUUCGCAAUCCAAUAACAACUAGAAUAACAUACGGCUGACAAUUUCAGAUGAAAACUAGUCCAUACACAUCAAUGUUUGCAAUCAUUUGAUAUGUAAAAAUGUACGAAUGAGAGGGGAGAGAAUGAAAGAUACAACUGAUAGGUUUGCGUGUUAAGUUAAGAGUGUAUUUAUUCAGAUAGGCAUAUACAUUGGUCACCGACAUGCGUAGACGAACCGCGCCACUGCGUGGCUUGCGCUUUGAUAGCGCUACACCUCCGUUCUUACCGAAAAAAGAAAGUGUAUUACAAUGUUGUUGUAGCCGCCUCUGUUGCUGCCGUUAUUUUGCAUUUUUUCUCCAUAAUUGCUGUUGAAUGCUAACACUUGUUGUUCGUUUGUUUCUGUUCUUGAUUAGAUAAUGAAUUUGGCGACAACUUCCUUGGCGUCAUCGAAUUUUGUUACCUGAAAUAUAGAUACAGUUCAGAUUCUCUCACUUGCAUUUUGAUGUUCUAGAAUUAUACGUUCAUUAUGCAUCGAAUACUUUUUUUCGCACAAUUUUACACAUUAAAACAGCACAAUAACUGAAAUUAGAAUUACAAUAAUUAAUUAAUUAUUAAAUUAGGAAGAAUUCGAUGUUGUUUUGAAUUGGCCAUUUGAUACAAAGUAAAUGUAAAACAUAUAUUUUUAUUUUCAGUCCUUAAACAAUUCGGGCCCCGUUUAGCUUGCUGAAUGAAAACAUUAAUUUUGAUAUGAUUGCGUCACUUGAUCAGAGCUAAUUAAAGUUUCACUUCACUUUUAUUGGAAAUUAUGAUGUUAUCAUUAACAUUAGGUCAUUAGGAGAUAUUCUCAAUAUCAUUAGCUCAUCGAUAAAUGGAAUGCGUAUUUCAUUGACUUAUUUUCAUUACUUCAUAGUCCGUAUAACUGCCGAACUCGUCAUGUAAUUUGUAUAAUACCUAUGUAGUUUAAUAAAAGAUGUAUUAUCGGAUCGGGUCAAGGACUGAAUCAAUAUAAUCUUUAUUCAACAGACUAUUUGAACCGUUGCGACAAACAAAUUCCCUCAGAAUAUUUUGGUUUCAAAGUGCAACAUGAAAGUUUUUUUUAACGAAGCACAUAGAAAGCGAUUCUCUUUGUAUUGAUGUAGGCUGAAGUAUGCAACUUUAUUUGGUGUGUAUACACACACUCAAAUAUCGCAGCCGAUUGAAAUUGAACACAUUGAAAUGACUAAGGUCCAUGUUUACAGUAAUUUCCACUCCACAACCUCUAUUCUAUAUAGAUUUUUUAUUCUUAUAUUCUUCUUUCAUUUUUCUCUAAACAACGAAUCCACGAUGGUAUUUAAAUUCUAUCAACCACUUUAAGACCACUAUUUAAAUUAAAACGAUGUUGAUAUUAAAUCACUUACUUUCGUUGGGAACAAAAUUGGAAUUCCAACCAACUCAACUGAAUGUUCACAUACAAAUGAAUGUACUAUUAUUAUGUUCAUAGAUUCCCAACGAGUUGAGUAUGACAAGUACAAACACAUGUUCCCUCCAUUUUAAUAUGAAUUAUUACAAA